GACAGCUAUAGCUGCAGUGAGAGUGAGUGGGAUGAGCAGAGUGGGAUAUUACUCCAGAAAGCUUCUCUAUGUGUAUAGUAAUAUGUUUACACUGUGUUAUUUUAUAGUGGGGUAUGUUUGCCAGCUGCAGAAGGAGGAAGGCUCAUGUACGAAAUUCGUCCUGAAGUGGUACUUUGAUGCCCAGACAUCGAGCUGCACGCGGUUCUGGUAUGGAGGAUGCGGAGGAAAUGAAAACAGGUUCGAAACCCAGGCAGAGUGUGAGGAGGCCUGUGCUUCCGUGACGGUUAAUCCUGGAGUCAUGGCAGCGAUUGGAACCUAAGUGAAAAGUAAUGAAAACCAACAUUUACCUCUGAAGAGAACCCGGAGAUAACCACAGCCAACUAGAAGCUAAGGGAAUGCUGAACCUUGCACUGUACCUGCAGAUGCUUUUGAUACGAAGACUCUUGAAGUAGUUUUUUUCUUUUUCUUUUUAAGAAAAAACAUUGCUGCAUGAUUUGGCGUACUGGUGCUAAUGUGUUUGAUGAUCAGGUGCUGAAUUUGUCUGGAAUGCAAUUUACACAUUUACACUUCUCUUACGUCUUUUUAUUUUCCAAUCAUGGACGACGUUUUUAUGCUUUGAAAUCUUUUUUUAUGAAUAUCUUGGUCAAACGGGAAUCAAAAAAGCAAAGUUUAUUCAAUAGGGCAAAGAUUCUCUUUCUCAUUGCACACAUACACAGUCCAAUUAUUUUUAAUGCAUAGGAUGGUAUAUAUUUGACACAUUUUGGGCCAGUACUGGCCCAAAGACAUCACAAUUAAGAUUUUCUUUCUAGCUGUUCAUUAUAUCAUACUGUGUUAGUGUUUACAAUAUUCUGUGUUAACUGAAAAGAUAAGUAUAUGAUGACGAUAAUGACAAUCACCCUCAGCUCAGUAUUGAGAAAUACAAAAAUAUAUAUAGAUAAUGCACUUCCAGGAAACAAAACCUCAAACACAAAAGUUCCAGCUCUUAAAUAUGGAAUGUAAUUGUCAACAUUGUGUACGGUUUUGAUCAUUUUUGACAGAAAAUAAAAAGUAGACUUUCUUAUAAAA